GACUGUGCUUCCCCAAUUCUCAGUGUGAAACCACCUAACAAGACUCAAGCCUGAUCAGGUGGGCACAGCAGAUUUCAAAGGAAUAGAGCCUCCACCUGGGAGUCGGUGAUUUCACUCUCCUCUGGGGUUGAAGAGGGCCAUCUGAUGAUGUGGUAGGACAACGCAGCUAUUGGAGCUUUGCCACAGAGCAAGGCAAGUCUGAACUUAAGGGUUUUCCCGGCAGUGUUGCAAAUGGAAGCUAAGUAGAAAAGGUACCUCUCUGCAAGCCACAUCAAAGGUCCACAUUUGGUCCUCCACCUGUAUGGGCACCAAGCCACCCAGCCAAAGACAGGAUGGAAGUUCCAACAGAGAGUUACAGAGUUUCAAGGAAAAGAAUGAAUAUCACCCAAAGACUUUGCAACCUGCCCAGGGAAAGAGUUAGCAUAUUUGCAGUUGCAUGCAAGACAGUUGUGUCAUGUCACAUGGAGGU